AGUGAACGCUGGCGGCGUGCCUCAGACAUGCAAGUCGAACGAUUAAAGCUCUCUUCGGAGAGUGCAUAGAGUGGCGCACGGGUGAGUAACACGUAAGUAAUCUACCCUCGAGUGGGGAAUAACGUCCGGAAACGGGCGCUAAUACCGCAUAAUGCAGCGGCAUCAUAAGAUGACAGUUGUUCAAGAUUUAUCGCUUGAGGAGGAGCUUGCGGCAGAUUAGCUAGUCGGCAAGGUAACGGCUUACCAAGGCUACGAUCUGUAACCGGUCUUAGAGGACGGUCGGUCACACUGACACUGAAUAACGGGUCAGACUCCUACGGGAGGCAGCAGUCGGGAAUUUUGGGCAAUGGGCGAAAGCCUGACCCAGCAACGCCGCGUGAAGGAUGAAGUAUUUCGGUAUGUAAACUUCGAAAGAAUAGGAAGAAUUAAUGACGGUACUAUUUAUAAGGUCCGGCUAACUGCGUGCCAGCCGCCGCCGUAAAAC
rnacentral:rRNA from 1 species